GAUCCGGCUCAGGAUGAACGCUGGCGGCGUGCUUAACACAUGCAAGUCGAGCGAAGCACUUAGGAAAGAUUCUUCGGAUGAUUUCCUAUUUGACUGAGCGGCGGACGGGUGAGUAACGCGUGGGUAACCUGCCUCAUACAGGGGGAUAACAGUUAGAAAUGACUGCUAAUACCGCAUAAGACCACAGCACUGCAUGGUGCAGGGGUAAAAACUCCGGUGGUAUGAGAUGGACCCGCGU
rnacentral:rRNA from 1 species